rnacentral:tRNA from 1 species
AAUUUCUAAUAUGACAGAAUUUAUGUAAUGGAUUUAAGCCCCAUUUAUAAAGGAUUUAUCCUUUUUUUAGAA